AUAGUGAAAUGUAAAUGGCAAGUACUGCACUUGCUAUGGCACAAUGUUUUUGUUAUAAUUAGUUCAUAGUGAAAUGUAAAUUUUUUUCCAUUGCAGCUUUGAGUUUUGCAGAAGGUUGUUAUAAUUAGUUCAUAGUGAAAUGUAAAUUAAACAUUUUUACAAGCUCAACAGCAUUAUCAACAGUUAUAAUUAGUUCAUAGUGAAAUGUAAAUUAGCAAUCAUUAUAAUUACAUCUCUUAAAGUCUUGUGUUAUAAUUAGUUCAUAGUGAAAUGUAAAUUAGGUCAUGUUGUUUCUGUCAAUCCUGUGAAUUUAGUUAUAAUUAGU
rnacentral:sRNA from 1 species